rnacentral:rRNA from 1 species
GACGAACGCUGGCGGCGUGCUUAACACAUGCAAGUCGAACGGAAAGGGGCUGCUAGUGUGGGGCGCUCGAGUGGCGAACGGGUGAGUAACACGAGAGUAACCUGCCCUUGACGUUGGGAUAACGUAAGGGAACCGGGGCCAACACCGGAUAGGAGGUUCUGAUGCAGGGAGGGGGAUGGAAAGCGUCGGUGGUUGGGGCUGGGCUCGCGGCUUAUCAGCGUGUGGGUGAGGUAGAGGCAGACAAAGGCUUUGACGGGUAGCCGGCCUGGGAGGGUGGCCGCCCACAUUGCGACUGCGGUAGGGCCCAGACUCCUACGGUGGGCAGCGGUGGGGAAUAUUGCACAAUGGGCCGACGCCUGAUGCAGCAACGCCGCGUGCGGGAUGUCGGCCUUCGGGUUGUAAACCGGUUCCGCCUGUGACGAGGCGUUAGUGACGGUAAUGGAUAAAGAAGCACCGGCUAACUACGUG